AAUUAAAUGGGCAGCCACCCACCUCCACCAAUCAAAGAGGAGGCAGCCAACCCUCUCCCUCUAUAAAUAGAGCUUGGCCGGCCACCUCCUCCCCAUUUGCUCAUUUUCUACACUCUCCACUCCUUCCUCCACUCCCCCACACUCCUCUCCUACCUCUUCCCCACGAGCUGAAGCUCCCCCAAGGCUCCAUGGCCGGCCAUGGCCAUGGGAUCACACCAAACCGCAGCUCUCCUUCUCUCUCAAGCUCCUCCUCCCCAUGAGAGCAUUCCUCUCACUCUCUUCUCCCCCAACCCUAGCUGGUUUCCUCUCCUCUUCUUCUUCCUCCAUUGCUAAGAUUGGAUCUUGAUGCAGGUGCAUGUUGGUCCAAGCAUGGAGAAGGUUGAGCAAUCCUCAGAUCUGAAGCUCUUGACCAAAAUCCAAAUCCAGUGAUUCAAAGUUCCGCAGAUAGGUAUUGAAAAGAUCUACAAUUUGGCGUUGGUCUCAUCCUCAAAUUCGUUACGGAUUUUGCAUGAUCAAGAUCUGGUCAGAUCUGACUUUGUCGAAUUAAACCAGGAGCCUGGAGACGAAUUUUUGAAUGAAACCAAUUGGGGGAUGUUUGGUUUAUACCAUGUUGAUAACCGAGAGAGGCAAUUGCUAAGUUGUGAUGCACUCAUACCUUUACUAGAUGCGAACAAUUCCGGAGAAGAAGAAGAAGUGGAAUCGGAUGAAAAGAUUAUUUAUAUUGUUGGAAUUCUUAUAUUGAUGGAGUUGAAAAAGUACAGGGACAAAUAAGCCAA